AAUGCCUAGGAAUCUGCCUGGUAGUGGGGGAUAACGUUCGGAAACGGACGCUAAUACCGCAUACGUCCUACGGGAGAAAGCAGGGGACCUUCGGGCCUUGCGCUAUCAGAUGAGCCUAGGUCGGAUUAGCUAGUUGGUGAGGUAGUGGCUCACCAAGGCGACGAUCCGCAACUGGUCUGAGAGGAUGAUCAGUCACACUGGAACUGAGACACGGUCCAGACUCCUACGGGAGGCAGCAGUGGGGAAUAUUGGACAAUGGGCGAAAGCCUGAUCCGGCCAUGCCGCGUGUGUGAAGAAGGUCUUCGGAUUGUAAAGCACUUUAAGUUGGGAGGAAGGGUUGUAGAUUAAUACUCUGCAAUUUUGACGUUACCGACAGAAUAAGCACCGGCUAACUCUGUGCCAGCAGCCGCGGUAAUACAGAGGGUGCAAGCGUUAAUCGGAAUUACUGGGCGUAAAGCGCGCGUAGGUGGUUUGUUAAGUUGGAUGUGAAAUCUCCGGGCUCAACCUGGGAACUGCAUUCAAAACUGACUGACUAGAGUAUGGUAGAGGGUGGUGGAAUUUCCUGUGUAGCGGUGAAAUGCGUAGAUAUAGGAAGG
rnacentral:rRNA from 1 species